UACGGAGGAUCCAAGCGUUAUCCGGAUUUAUUGGGUUUAAAGGGUGCGUAGGCGGUAUAGUAAGUCAGUGGUGAAAGCCCGCAGCUCAACUGCGGAACUGCCAUUGAUACUGCUAAACUUGAGUGUGUUUGAUGUGGGCGGAAUGUGCAGUGUAGCGGUGAAAUGCUUAGAUAUUGCACAGAACACCAAUUGCGAAGGCAGCUCACAAAACCACAACUGACGCUGAGGCACGAAAGCGUGGGGAUCAAAC
rnacentral:rRNA from 1 species